GAGGACUGUGACGUCACAUCCGCCGCGUCUCUCCGGAAGUACAGUUAAUUUUUAUUCACAGGAAAAAAACAGCUGUUGUUGAGAAACAUAAAAAAAUGCCGGCCCCUAAAAGAGGACUGGAUCCUCAUGAUUCUGAGCCUAAGGUGACGAAGUUGGAUGCAGACGGGCAGGAUCUGCCAUCCAAAACUACAGCAGCUAAAUCGCUUAUAACAGGAAAUAUGCAAGAAACGACAGCAGCCCCACGGACUAAGCAACAACUGCCUGGUUCAGCGGAAGAUGGGAAUAAACCAGCAAAGUCUUCUAAAGAGAAUUCCCCUGAAAAGGACUCAGAUUCUGACCCACCUGUCAAAAAAGCCAAGCUCCUGAAUGCCACAAGUGCCUCCUGUGGAGAAGCUCCCUCACAAAAAGUUAACUCCAAAGCUUCGCUGAAACGAUCAGCAUCCACAGACUCUGAUGAUGAGCUGAGUAGUGAUGGGAGUAAGAUUGAUCUUUUUAGAGAGAGAGAUGAUGACGACAAGUCCCGGUGCAUCAGAAAGUACUCAAACCGUGCAAAACGCAAGGCUGAAGAGUCAUCAUCGGACCUGCAGGAGAAAAUCCAAGGCUUACCGCCUGCUUCCGGGGACCCUGUACAGAUGGACCACAACUAUGGUAGGUUUUCAGAUUCACCAAGUGUUCAAGAUAUAGCGUAUCCAAAUGAGACACAAGAGUCUGCUGAGUUUGUCGCUGAAAAGGAGAGAAAAGAAAGCUCAGAUAACAGGACACAAGCCGAGUCAAAAGAAAAUGUAACAAGGAGCACAAACGCUAGCAUCAGCUUUGAAUGUGCACCUGAAGAAGCUAAACAUGAGGCAUUUAAAGAUGUAGAAAGCCAAAAGCUCAUAGAUAAUGAAACACUAGCAUCGUCUAGUAAAACAUUAGACUAUGCAGCAGCUGCAGAUGUGUCUUUCAAGUCAUCUGAGGCUGAGAAAAAUGAAAAGAGGGACAUUGCAGAGUCAAUCGAAGGGCAAAAGGAUGUAGAAGAUGAAACACUAACAUUGUCAGUGAAAACACUAUGUUCUGGUACAAGAGAUCGAAGUUGUGAAAAUGAAGUACGACAAGAUGAUAAAACAGUUUUAGGUUGCAGACCAGAAAAUCAGGCACAUGUUGGCCACGAAAAUGAAACAAAGGAAACCGAAUCUACUGAGUGUGAAACAGAAAUUAAAGGAGUGCCUGAAGCUGCCAGUGUCUCAGAGGAGCACAAAGAUGUAGGUGUAAAAGACAAAGCAUCAAAAGAAACCGACCCCUCACCAGAGGAGAUCCUGAUGGGAGGCAGUAAUCUAGAGAGUGAAACAGACAUCAGCGUCAAAAUUCAGGUUACUUUUAAGGACGAACCAAAAUCUGUACUUAUGCAGGACCAAGUGCCAGACACCAUCACAAACUCAUGUGAUGUAAACAAAGUACUUAAAAAGUCAGAGGAAAACCUUGAAGUAGGUGAACGAAAGGGAGGAGAGUUCUCAUCCACCCAGCCUGCUGCCAGUGCUGCAUCUUUUGUUGAGAUUCAACCAAGCCAUGGUACAACUGACAGCAGUGCUGAAAUAUUAACACCUGAUUGUGAGGCAGCUUAUGAGCAACAACACGUGGUUUCGGAGUGCGUCACGGUCUCAGCAGGUCAAACAGACUUGGACACGCAGCCGAAAAUAACUUCAGAGGAGGGGUCUGACUCGGCACCAAGACACGAUAGACAAAACCACAGAGUAUUUGACCACACUAAAGAAACAAUGGUUGAAUUUAGAGAAGAUUCUACGGUUGAAGUGUCUAUACAUAUGGAAGAACAAAGGGAGACAAACGUUGUGUGCACCUCUGCAGCAAAUAGUCAAACGGAAAUUCCUGCUUCAGCCACAGGAGAGCCAGUACAAAUCCAGAAAAGUCCAGAUAAUUCUGAUCAACUGAAUAAUGGCAUUCUGGAUGAAAAUACUGAAAUGAGGGAAAUGCUGUCUACUUUAACGUCAGAGGCAUCUCAGCCAGUUGCCAGUGUGGAGAUGCAAAGAAGCAAAGAAAUUAUUGAUAUUCACAGCGAUAUGAUGGAAAAUUGUAAGGUGGUGGAAAUGGAGACUAAGCCAUCAGCAAUUUUUCAGCCAAACCCUGAUGUGGAAACUCAGAAAGAGCAAGACUUUGAAGAAUUGACUGCAGAAAUAUCAACGGAUAUUUGUGGAGAUGUGAUAGAAACUGAGAACGAGAACCCUGAAAGUGCUAGUGCACCGAAGUGUCCAAGCAAAAUAGAAACUCAAGCUAUAACCCCAUCAGUAGUUUUAAAUCCACCACCGGAAAUGGGAAUAAAACCUCAGGAGAGUCCUGAAGUUGGUGACGCCAGCAGUGACCCAUCUGGUGAAGUUCCCUCACAUCCAGCUGCAGAUUGUCGGAGCACGGAAGAUGAAAGUGGGUUUGACGCCGGCAGUGUUGCUUCUCAUCAGAAUCUAAAUGAAGAGGAUAUGCAAACUGCAACCACAUCAGAGAAGGCCGCUAACCCAGCACCUGCAGUGGCGAUACAGGGGAGUGUGGAAGUGUGUGAGCACAAUACAGAGAUCUCACAAGAGUUACACGAGGCCAAAGUUGAUGAUUUGAAAUUCGCCUCAAAUAAAAACCAGCUGAUCUUUGAACCCGUGGCUGCAUCAGAAAAUCAAAUUGAAAUGUCAACGUCAACAUCAGAGAGUUCUGACUCAGCCCCUUCAGUGGAGAUGCGAGCUUGUGAAGUAGGAGUGGAUGUAAAAACACCUGAGGAGACUUCCAACACGUCCCCUACAGUCGAAUUAGAAAACCACACAACUCAGGAAGGUAGGGAACAAGCCACGGAUGUGUCUGAUGAAGUUAAGGAAGACUGUAAAAGUGAUGAUUUGAAAUUAGUUAUUACUAGAAAUGAGGAGAAUUUUGAACCCAUGUCUACACCAGGGUGCGAAACGGAGAUGAAACCACAAACUACAUCAACAUCAGAGAUUUUCAACACAAACACAUCAGUAGACGAACAGAAAAAUAAAAUACAUGUGACCAUACAGACUUUAAAGUCAUCCGAGGAGAUUUCUAACACAUCCGACACUUCUGAUGAAUUUCACAAUGAUAACAAAGUCGAAGAAAAAGUUAUAGAUCAUAACAAGAUAACUUUACAGGCCGUUGCUACACCGGAGCGACAAAUUGAGAUGGAAAUGCAGAUUACACUAGCAUCAGGGAUUUCUGACGCGGCUCCUUCGGUAGAGAUUCAAAUGAGUCAAAUAGGAGAGGACAUGCAGACAGCAACAACCCCAGAGGAGGCUGCCAGGGCAUCACCUACAGUAGAAAUGCAACAACUGGGAAUUCCACAAGACAGCGGCCCGAUCAUGUCUGACCAACCUGAUGACGACAGUGAAACUAAACAGGAAAACGAGCUGAGCUUUGAAGCUGUAGCUGCAACAGGUAGUCACACUGAAAUGGAACUACAGACCUACAGCUCUACCCCAUUGGUGGAUGAGCAAGCAAGUGAAACAGAAAUGGACAUAAGAACUGCACAGAUAUCAGAGGAGGCUUCUGACACAUCGCCUACCGUUGAAAAAGAAGAGGAAUCCCAGGAAGACAAGGCUAAAGCGAGAGCAUGGGAAGACGCCCAUCAGGAGCUAAACACUGAAAGCUGUAAAAGUUUGGAAGAGGACAAGAAGGGCAACUGUUUUGUGACUGUAUCAGAGAAUCCAAUGCAAUUGGAAAAACAUGUUAUGUCAUGCAUAGAUGUUGCUAAUCCAGCAUCCUCAGCGAUGGUACUAAGUCAGGAGAACCCAAGGGAAGUGAAAAUGGAGACUGCAGCUACAUCACUGGAGAUUUCCAGCAGAGCACCCACAGUAGUAAUACAGGCCCCAGAGAGCCAGGGUGGCCAUGAAGACAAUAUGCGAGAGAGUGAGGGAAUGAAAAAUGAGCUUGUUGUUUCAGCCCCUGCAGUAGAAACACAAGACGCUGAGCCGACCGUAGACACAUCAGAAGAGGUUGAAGCCAGUCUACGGAUUCCUGCAAAGGAGAAUGAGAUUGUCUCACAAUUUGUCGGUGCUGUUGAGAGUCUAGUAGAGAGAGAAACACAGACGACAGCAACAACAACACCAGAGGAGAUUUCUAAUCCAUCAGCAGCUGGAACACAAAAUCCCAGAGGCCAGGAGGUCAGUGAACAUACCACAGACGCUGAACUUCAAAAGGAUGCAGUUGUUACUGGUACUGAAGAGAAAGAAAAUGAGGAGAUUGAUUCUCAGUACCUUGAACACACUGAGUCACAAAUAGAAAAAGAACUAGAAAAAACAGCAACACCAGAGAACAGUUGUGACCCAGGAUCUAUGAUGGAAAUACAAAACCAGGAGAACCAGGAGGUUCCUGAACGUAACAAAGGCACUGAACUUCAAAGAGCUGCAGUCUUGGCUUGUACUGAGAAUAAUGAAAACAUGGAAUCAGCUAUGACUCAAUCUGUCAGUGCUGCUGAGACUCAGAUGAACAUUGAUGCGGAAACAGCUGUAACGCAAGAGGAGAUUUGUGAUCCGGACUCUGUAAUGGAAAUACAAAUUCAGAAAGGCCAGGAGAAAGGUGAACUCAACAUGGCCGCCGAUGUUCAGAGAGCUCAGGCCACUACGAGUUGUUGGGAUGCGGAGGAAAACGAAGACACAGCCACUGCCCCAGCUGUAAAUCAAACAACUGAAGAAACAGCAACAGCCAAACAGCUGAAUCACAAGAUGGAAGAUGUUUGUGAACAACACAGUGCUGACUCAAAUGUAAUUCAUGAAACAACUCCGAUGACUAGUCUGGAAAACAACAAAUGUGUGGCCGAGACAGGCUCCGAAGAAGUAGAGGAUAUGGAUCUAAUAAGGGGAUCAAUAGAAACAGUAGAUUCUGAUUGGGAUGCGGAAACAAGAAGGCAAAUGACUAAUGAGGCCAAAAAAGAGGCUGCAGCCAUUUGUAGUGAUAAGGUUGAUGAAAGCGUUACUAAUAGUGAAAUAAGUGGAGGCAAAGAAGUCCCUGUUUUUGUUUGUGAACAACCAAGUGACACGGAUGUUGUUCAGGCACCGGAGGAGCAGAUGGAGACGGUGUCUGAGCCUAAGGACGUCCAGAUAGUGUAUGAGCCCAUUAGUAGUCCAGAGAGUCCUGAUAAUAGGGAUGCCUUUGAAAUGUCUGAGAAGCACGACGGUGUUUCUGUAUUGGACAUACAGAGCGCAGAUACCCACGAAAUGAAAGAAGCUUCCUGCGAAGAAAGCACGGAAACUAGCGCCCGUGACAGCGAGGGGCAUGUGAAGGAGGGCCUUCAAGAACCGCGUGAAAUGGAAGUUCAGGCCAUCAGCGUGGCAGACGCUUCUCUCCCUCCUGCGUCGGAGCAGAAUGACGACGCUGCGGAUGGGAGACAAACGGCACCCGCCGUCGCCAGCGAUGACUGCAGCGUGCCAGAUGGCCGGGGACAAGCAGCAACCCAAGACAGUGGAAGGAGUGGCCUCCCAGGAUGCACCGGGGCCGCCGAGCCUUCUGAGGCGGCGCAGGAGGACGCAGGAGGCGUCACGAUGCCGGCAGCCUCGGCGUCCAAGGAGCACGUGGCUCCGGAACCGGCGGCUCUGGAACCGGUGGCUCCGGGUGAAAUUCAGUUUGAUAUUGUCACCCAAGCGGCUACUGAGUCUGGGCUGUCGUGCUCGCUUUUAGGGGAAGCGAAUUCAGAAAGUGCUUUAGAAGGUGAGGUGGAAAAUCAAAAGCUCUUAAAUGGUUUCCAACAACCUGAACAGACUGUUCUCGCUGAGUCAGAAGAGGAGGUCAGAGAAGCAACAGAGAAAAGUGGAGAUGAGGGCAGUGGGAGCCAAGUCACGACAGACACAUCAACAGGGGAGGACGCUCAGCAGCCGUCGUCUGACGUGGCGGAUGUGGCGGCCUCUCAUGCCCAGGUCGCAGAGGAGAACCCUGUUGCCGUGGCGAUGGAGACGGAAACCAGCCUGGACGUCCAGGAGGUGCAGAUUAUGGAGGACAUGCAGAUCGGUCGGGAGGUUGUCGUAGCAGAGGAGGCCGAAAAACCCAAGAAGCAAGAAAUGAACACGCAGGCCAGGACCAAAGCUCGUCUGGCGGCUCUGGCCGAGCAAAAGGCGGCGGAGUCGAAGAGGACGGCCAACAGACAGCAGCUGAACCUCUUAGCGCUGUGUCAGGAGAUCGCGGAGGACAUCGCCACGGACAGCAUGUUGCUGAAGAGGAUCGAGGAGGAGAAGCAGGCGGCGGCAGCUGCAGCAGCUGCAGCCGCAGCGGCAACAGCGGCCGCCGCCGAGGGUGAAGCCAGCAAGAAGGAGGAUCCACCUGAUACCAAGCAGGAGGCCGAGGAUGCCAAGCUGGACCCCCCCGCCGGGCCAGAGCAGCGGCCCGCUUCAGUGACGCCCACAGAGGCGCCAUCCACCGCCCCGGACCCCCAGCCCUCAACGGCAGCCUCAGCUGAGCCCAAAGCUGCUCCAGAGCCUCCGAAAAGACGCUUCUUCAUCUCUCAGGUGUCAGUGCCGCUGAAAACCCACGAGAAGAAGAAGCUGACUAGAUAUCAGAGACUGAGACAGGUUGAGCUGCAGAGGGAGAAGAUGUCCUGGGCUCGUGUCAAGAAGCUGAAGUCUGACCAAGUGAACCAGAUGUUCUCAGACAUGGACUGGCAGGCGCCGUUCUCCGCCGCCUCCUCAUUCUUAGCGGGCUCCACGGCGACGGCGCCUCCUCCGCCUGCAGCUUCUCCACCCAAAGCGUCUCCACCCAGUCCUGCCACCGAGAGGGCGCCUGCUACGCCUAAGGCCGAGGCUCCCACGGCUGAGACACCCACCGCUGAACCCGUCCAGGUGGAGCCCGUGAAAACCGAACCCGUUGCUCCGGAAAACGUAAAGUCAGAGCCCACGCAACCUGAACCUGAAGCGUCUAAACCGGAGUCUCCCGGUACUGAAACCCGCAGGGUAACGCGGCAGAGCAAGGCUCAGGCUGAGAAAGCGGCCGCUGAGAAGGCAGCCGCUUCUAAGGCAACGACCCCUAAAGCAGCAACUGCUGCAGGUCCUGCCCCAAAAGUGACCAGAUCAGCAUCCAAGAGGAGUCUUCCAGCAAAUCCUCCUCCCAUGCCCAACGGGCUCAAUGCUCAGAAGCCCAAACCUGUUGAGUACAAGCCAUACAGACCCCGGCCCAAAUAUUCCUUCGAUGACUUUGAACUGGAUGACGACCCGUUGCCAGUGGCUCCAGCGAAGCCCAGUCCUCAGUCCCGGCCCGUGCAGCCAGCACAGCCCCUUCAGCCCCAGCCCUCCGCUCAGUCCAGACUCACCCACCCAUCCAAACCCACCGCCUCGUUACCACAGAAAGCCCAGUCCACACCUGCUGGACAGAUCUCAGGUCAGUCAAAGCCCACUGUUACAGCUGCAGCCCAGUUAAAACCCGCCUCUUCCACCAAUCCACAAUCAAAGCACGCCGCUGCAGCAGCGCCCCAGCCAAAGGCCGCCGCAGCAGCAGCGGCAUCGGCCAAACCUCUGUUAAAGCCGCCUAUCGCGACGCCGCAGUCGAAGGCUGCUUCAGCUCCAUGUCAGUCCAAACCUGCCGCUGCUGGUGCCGCUCAGCCAAAGCCAUCUGCUCCCACGACCUCCCAGCAGGCUGCACCGACCGCAGCUGACACCAAGUCUGGUGCUCCCAAGGCUGAAGAGGCUUCACUAGAAGAUGGGAAACGCAAGGAUACAGCUGAUCCACCUCCGUCAGCUCCCACCCCUUCGCUUCCCUCCAUAAGCAGCCUGACAGCACCUGACGACACGCAGCAACGUGAAGAAAAGCCUGCAGUGAGCGAUGCUGAGCCAUCACUGGAGAGCAAGACCGAUUUAUCCAAGAAAGACGAGAAGACACUGGAUGACGCUUGUCAGGACGGAGCAGCUAAACCACAAGACAGUGGAACUCCUCUCUCUGAUGCAUGUCUUCAAAGAGAAGUCAAGAAACUAAAGGAGGCUGACAAAGAUUCCACACAGACCAUUAUUGAUGCGGGACAAAAGCAUUUUGGCGCAGUGGCCUGCAGUGUGUGUGGGAUGCUCUACUCUGCUGCCAACCCUGAGGAUGAAUCUCAGCAUUUACUCUUCCACAAUCAGUUCGUCAGCGCCGUCAGAUACGUGGGAUGGAAGAAAGAGAGGAUCCUAUCUGAGUUUCAUGACGGCAAAAUCAUUCUGGUCCUGCCUGAUGAUCCUAAAUAUGCUCUGAAGAAGGUGGAGGAGAUCAGGGAGAUGGUGGACAAUGACCUAGGCUUCCAGCAGGUGGAGACCAAGUCCCCCUCCAAGACCAAAACCUUUCUCUUCAUCUCCAGCGACAAGAAAGUGACGGGAUGCCUAAUAGCAGAGCACAUCCAGGAGGGGUACAGGGUGAUCGAGGAGCCCCUGCCGGAAGGUUCCGAGCGUGAAAAGGUGAUGUUUGAGCGCCAGAGAGCCUGGUGCUGCUCCACCACACCAGAACCAGCCAUCUGUGGCAUCAGCCGCGUCUGGGUGGUCAACACCAUGAGACGCCAGGGCAUCGCCACCCGCAUGCUGGAGUGCCUCAGGAACAACUUCAUCUAUGGCUCGUACCUGAGCAAAGAUGAGAUCGCGUUCUCUGAUCCCACUCCUGAUGGGAAACUCUUUGCCACGCAUUAUUUCGGCACUUCUCAGUUUUUGGUUUAUAACUUUGUGAGUGGCAGUCGCACGUCCCAGCCCAAAACUGGUACAGUAUGACGGUCCAACUGGAUUUAACCAAGACGUCCCCGAACAAGUGGACCCACUGACACAGUCCUCACUACGUAACUAUACAAAAAACUGUAAAUUACUCCUAAGAGAGGAUAAACAUUGGUUUAAAUCUCAGGAUGAAAACAACAAGGUGUUGUUGAAAAAAUGAUUAAUUCACCCUUUAAUCCCUGCAUAGUAUUUUGAAAAAAGAAGAGUAUUUUCUUUAUACAUUUUUAAGUAAACACUUGGUUUUAUUAGAAGUAUAGAGUUUACAUGCAUGACCUGACAGCAAUAGAAAACAGCUUUUCUUUGUUUUUGAGUUCCCGAGUUGAUUCAGCUGCAUUCAAUAAACAUUUUAGGGUUCGUCUUAUGUUUCUGCUU
rnacentral:lncRNA from 1 species